rnacentral:rRNA from 1 species
UACGGGAGGCAGCAGUGGGGAAUAUUGCACAAUGGGCGAAAGCCUGAUGCAGCUAUGCCGCGUGUAUGAAGAAGGCCUUAGGGUUGUAAAGUACUUUCAUCGGGGAGGAAAAAACAAAACUAAUAAUUUUAUUUCUUGACGUUACCCGAAAAAGAAGCACCGGCUAACUCCGUGCCAGCAGCCGCGGUAAUACGGAGGGUGCUAGCGUUAAUCAGAAUUACUGGGCGUAAAGAGCACGUAGGUGGUUUUUUUAAAGUCAGAUGUGAAAUCCCUGGGCUUAACCUGGAACUGCAUUUUGAAACUGAAAUACUAGAGUAUCGUAGAGGGAGGUAGAAUUCUAGGUGUAGCGGUGAAAUGCGUAGAUAUCUGGAGGAAUACCUGUGGCGAAAGCGGCCUCCUAAACGAAUACUGACACUGAGGUGCGAAAGCGUGGGGAGCAAACAGGGAUUUAGGAUACC